GCUGGAGUAGCUCAGUCGGUAGAGCACGUCCUUGGUAAGGACGGGGUCACGGGUUCGAUUCCCGUCUCCAGCUCCG
rnacentral:tRNA from 6 species